rnacentral:rRNA from 1 species
CCUACGGGGGGCUGCAGUGGGGAAUAUUGGACAAUGGGCGCAAGCCUGAUCCAGCGACGCCGCGUGUGUGAAGAAGGCCUGCGGGUUGUAAAGCACUUUUAGUGGGGAGGAAACGCACAGACCCAACACGUCUGUGAACUGACUUAACCCAAAGAAAAAGCACCGGCUAACUCUGUGCCAGCAGCCGCGGUAAUACAGAGGGUGCAAGCGUUAAUCGGAAUUACUGGGCGUAAAGCGAACGUAGGCGGUUAUCUAAGUCGGAUGUGAAAUCCCCGGGCUCAACCUGGGAAUUGCAUUCGAGACUGAAUAGCUAGAAUGCGGAAGAGGGAAGCGGAAUUUCCGGUGUAGCGGUGAAAUGCGUAGAUAUCGGAAGGAACAUCAGUGGCGAAAGCGGCUUCCUGGUCCAGCAUUGACGCUCAGGUUCGAAAGCGUGGGGAGCAAACAGGAUUAGAUACCCGUGUAGUC